rnacentral:rRNA from 1 species
AUUGAACGCUGGCGGCAGGCCUAACACAUGCAAGUCGAACGAGUGGCGGACGGGUGAGUAAUGUCUGGGAAACUGCCCGAUGGAGGGGGAUAACUACUGGAAACGGUAGCUAAUACCGCAUACCAUCGGAUGUGCCCAUAUGGGAUUAGCUAGUAGGUGGGGUAAAGGCUCACCUAGGCGACGAUCCCUAGCUGGUUUGAGAGGAUGACCAGCCACACUGGGACUGAGACACGGUCCAGACUCCUACGGGAGGCAGCAGUGGGGAAUAUUGGACAAUGGGGGCAACCCUGAUGCAGCCAUGCCGCGUGUAUGAAGAAGGCCUUCGGGUUGUAAAGUACUUUCAGCGGAGAGGCGUUACCUGCAGAAGAAGCACCGGCUAACUCCGUGCCAGCAGCCGCGGUAAUAC